rnacentral:lncRNA from 1 species
AAGUCUCCAAUUUAAUACUUAUACGAAGGCCAUUAUCUAUUUACAAUUAAAUAAACAAAGUGCUAUGACUCGACCUCUAACAGCGGAGUGACUUGGAAUGAAAUGCUACGACAUGCCUUUACCUAUCUGCGGUAGACUAUAAGUGCCGAUGAUUGCACGCUAGGCCGAUCACUAUUUAUAAAAGGGAAAUGAAAAGGUGAGUCCCACAGACUCAGUGAUCAUCAGCUCUGUGAGCAAGGAGUAGAUGGGAAACAAGCAAUAAGCAGAUCAUUUGAAUGAUAAAAUCAGAGUAUGAAAUACUAAUCUUAUAAACCAAAUCACAAUAAGGAUAUUUGUGCAUUGUAAAAAUAAUAUUGUAAAAUCAUAAUACAAUGCUUUCUUCAGCAAAACAGUGCCAAAAAUAAGUGUAACAGAAAGAGUUUCAAUAAUUAAAAACAUCAUUGUCAUCAAAAUAUAAAAUACAGUACAAAGGUAAGCACGCUCCCAAAAUGUGUGGCAUGUAAAGAAAGCAAAGUGUAUGGCCACCUAAAUCAACUCAUGGUUGUCAAGUAAGCACUGAAAGCUUUUAAUUAAAAAAUGGGAGCUGGAGAGAAAAUCUUAACUCUCCACCAUGUAAAAGAGUACGUGUUGAAAACUCACAAGGCUUUUGAGUAGGAAAGUAUAAUAUCAACACGUGGACCCAUUUUCACGUAAUAACAAUCCGAGAGUCUUACUCCACCGGAUUCCCAUAGACAUGGCAAUCUCCAUGAUGUUGUCUGACAUCGGAGAAUCAAGCGGUCACUACCACGCACAUUCGGGAGUCUCACUCUACCGGAUCACUUGUGGCUUAGCCAUAUAUACAUAUCAUAGGUCGUGGCCCCUGUCACGCCUAACCGCCAGUCAGUGACCUAAAGGUUUUCUAGAUAGAGCUCAUUCGUGCAUGAAGGUCACAAUUAACCGAAGUGAUAGUCGGUCUACUUUUGACGCACUUGGUUUGUCAAAAGCAUCUUCAAAAAUCAAAUCGAGGUUUCCAAGUCUUUUGCUUCAAACCAUUUGAAACCAAGGUUCAAUAACCUUUCAAAUGACUUUUCACAUAAAAAAGGCAUGGUGUAUUCUCUUAUACAAAGAUCGGAUUAAAACCGGUGCUCAAAACUUGCAUUUUAAAUCAUUUAACUAUUUCAUUUAAACUAUGCAUAUCACCCACAAAUACAAGGCACAGAUUUUGAAUGCAAACAGUAUAAAAGGCUUGUUUCCCAAUUUCUAAAACACUUUACGUAUAUAACUAAUCUAUGGAUAUAUCCAAAACAAUUUUCAAAACAACUUGCAUCCAUAAUUUCCUACGAGUUCUACCAGCUCAUGCUUUCCACAAUAACAGUGUAUAAAUCAUUAUAAAUCCAUUUAGAAAUCGCCUAUUGAGGCUAACAGCUCAUGCUUUCCACAAUUGCAUUUAAUGAAAUCUAGCAACGUUUAUAAAACAUAUAACAUUAUACAGCUAUGGAAAUUUUUGAAAUAGGCACCCCUUACUCACCUUACAAUAGCGGGACGUUUCGUCGCUAUUGAUUCAGGUGCGUAUCUUGCUAUUUCUACUUGCCGGUCACACGCUACUUCACCUGGCAUGCCACCACGGUAAACUUUUCUACUUAUAUACUUCCUAGCAACAAUCCCAAUUCAAUAAUCUUAGUGUUUAUCAUUCCCAUUUUCCUCCUUAUUCAAACAUUACCAUCAUGUUAAUAACUCAUACUAUGCUACAAUCACCACUUUUCCUCACUUAACGUUGCAUAUUCAUAUCCAUCUCGACACAUUUUUACCAAAGUUUUCUUUAUCCUUUGCUUGCUUAAUUCUUUAAAUUAUAAUUAUCGGUAACUUAUUUAUGACUUUAGCACCCAUAUUAACCUUUUCCAGCCAUUUCAUUCAAAUUCGUUUUAUUUUUUCACACAUAACCCACAUAUAUGGCAACAACAAUCAUUAUCACUUUCACUCAAUUGUUUCCAAGUUUACAUGCAUCAUUAUCUAUCUAACUUUCAAUACUUUGUUUCUCAAUCCUCCAUCCACAAUAUUCGUUUUUCAUUUCUUUCAAACAACAUGCCAUACAAACUUAACAAUUUUCAACUAACUUACGCAAAUAGAUCCUUUCAACAACCAUAAUUCCUCACAAUAUUCAACUAACCGUAGGCUUUAAAACAUAGUGUUAAGCUUACCGUUUUCUUUUUCCAUUUUGAGUCCAUCAUGUACCCAUGGGUUUGUUGCCUUGUAUGUCACGACCCGGUACUCUCCUCGAGUUCGUAACAACCGUCGCGAUAUCCCGAUAGACAUUCAUUACCCGAAAUGCCAACCGAAACCUUGCAGGGCUUUAAUAUUAGUUUUCUCACCUCCCCAGUGAGCAAUAGUUGCUAAUAUCAUAUUUUAAAAGAUUAUAAGCUAUUUCCAAACCAAAACAAUAAAAAAAUAAUUUUUGUCUCUCAGGGGUAUUUUGGUCAUUUUUUCUCAAAAAUUUCAAAACCAGCUAAUAAUGUAGUAUGCGAGUGCAAAACACAUAUUUCAUAGUAAAAAAUAAGUUUAGAUGUCUAAAACAUUCAUUUAAGGUGAAAUUAUGACUAUUUGAAUAUAAUAAAAAUAUUCAAUAAAAUAUUUCAUUUUCUUAUAAAACAAUUUUUAUAGAGUUAUUUGUAAGAAAUUUUUGUAGCAUAAAAGUGAAUUAAAUUCAUACAUACUGUAAUACAGAUAGUCAAGGUAUGUAAUUUAAUUUACAAUGACACUUGGGCCCCUAAAUGACAAGAGUGAACGAAGACUAUGAACCUACGAUUUUUGAGGAAGUAAAGCCAACUGUAGCCUUUGACGAUAUCAGCUAUCUACAAACUAUCCUGAGCCUGAAAUGGGUGGAAAGGAGGGUGAUGAGAUUAUAUAAUCCUAGUGAGUAAACAAAUAUCAUCUAAACAAUCUAAAGCCGAGGAAAUAGAGACAAUUAAAAUAGAUCAUCAUAUUGUAAUUCAUCACCUUUCAACUCAUUUCAACCAAAUAAAAUCAAUUCAUAUAAAUCGAGUAAUCAACAUGGCUAAUGAAUUUCUUAAAACUUGGCUCGUCCCAAAAACUCAUACUUGGUGACACCUUGAUCAGAGGUAUCCAACCAAGUCUGCCAAGGCUAUCAAAAUUUCAUAUACACGUAAACAUAUUUGCACGUUAGAAAACACAACCGUUCCUUGGCGUUAACGGAGUUCAUCCUCAUAUGGUGGUUUGACGUGACGUGAACUCUAACCAUACCCCAGGAGAUACCCUACGUGCCUCUCCGAUCGAGAUAAGAAUAUAACUAGAUUUCGUGCCCCUCUAAUAGGCUGGUCCACAGAACCUACCACUGCAGUGACCAAUCUAUAACCCACCAAUUCAAUAAAAUUCAACAGCAUGACAUGGCAAUUUUAUCAUUAUCCAACCUAUCCAGGCAAACAACAGUUUAUACAUUUUCAACACAAAUACCCAUCCAGCCAUUCAUGCCUACAUUUUCAAAUUUACAAUACAAAAGUAGUCUCUAAUUACUCCAUUUUCAAGUCAUCAUUAAGUUUCAAAACAAUUUAUAAAAUCAUUUCAUUUAAACACAUUUUCCAUGGAAUUACAAAAUCGGAUAAAAACAUACUUUAGAUAAGUAAGACGAUAAUAAGGUUACUCACUGUAAUGGGAAUCGAGUUUCGAGUACUCCGAUUCUUGAUCCUUGAUUACUAUCUCUUUACUUUUUCCAGAAAACUCACCACCUAGACAUAAUGCACAAUAAGCCAUUUACUACGUUUGUGCUAAAUUGUUAUAAAACUAAUUCAGGCUCUAUACUAAUGUAUGAAAUGGGAUGUGAAAUGCUCGAGUAACCAUCUAAAUACGAUGUUCAAUAUAAGUUCAAUUGUGUACCUAAAUAAAACGGUAUUGGCCUAAUUCGAUCUAUCAACCGAUUAAUUGGCCAAUACGUCCAAUUUAACUCCAAACAAUUCCAUUUCUCUGCCAAUACUCCGAAUCAUCAAACACAAAUUAAAUAAGUUGAAAUAUGGUAAAAUCAUCCUCACAUUUUCUCUUGGAAAAAUUCGGCCAUGGAGGUUCUUGAGGGGUAUACGGUUUUUCAUGCUAAACAUUACCAUUUUCGGUUUCAUCCACCACAAUUCAUUAAAUUCUAACUAAAUAACAUAAGACAUCACAAGAUUCAUCUUCAAUAUUUUUUUUAUGAAAUUCGGCCAACGAAGAAUCCAUGAAGAAUAUGUGAUUUUUCUUACUUGUUUUCCUUCCAAACAUGAUAAAUCAACUAAAAACACUAAAAUAUCUCAAAAUCUAACCAAAUAAAUCAUCAAAUCUUCUCUCUCUAAAUUCCGGUCAUCCAUGAAUCCUUCAUGAUAUCUUGUGAUUCAACCAUGGAAAAUGCAAAAGAAUGCAUAGGAAAGAUAGAUCACAAGCUAGAGUUAAGAAAUUUCACCUUUGAUGUCUUUAUUCCUUGAAAUCUAGUGAUUUUCCCUUGAAUUUCUUAGAUAGGGUUUUGUUCUUCUUCUUUUCUUCCCUUUUCUUCCUUUGGCAGACCAAGAGAAAUGAG